rnacentral:rRNA from 1 species
GUCUACAGCCAUACCACCCUCAACGUGUCUGAUCUUGUCUGAUCUCGGAAGCUAAGCAGGGUCAGGCCUGGUUAGUACUUGGAUAGGAGAUAAGAGCAGUAGUAGAAG